AAUCAACGCUGGCGGCGUGCCUAACACAUGCAAGUCGGACGUGAAAGGGGUUUCGGCCCUGAGUAGCGUGGCGGACGGGUGAGGAACGCGUGGGUGACCUGCCCUGCAGAGGGGGAUAACCCUCCGAAAGGGGGGCUAAUACCGCAUGAGCCCGAGAGGGGAAAGACGGUGAGUCGCUGCGGGAGGGGCCUGCGUCCGAUUAGCUGGUUGGUGGGGUAAGAGCCCACCAAGGCGACGAUCGGUAGCCGGUCUGAGAGGACGGACGGCCACACUGGGACUGAGAUACGGCCCAGACUCCUACGGGAGGCAGCAGUGGGGAAUUUUGGGCAAUGGGCGAAAGCCUGACCCAGCAACGCCGCGUGGAGGAAGAAGGCCUUCGGGUUGUAAACUCCUGUCCCGAGGGACGAAGUAGGUGACGGUACCUUGGGAGGAAGCCCCGGCUAACUCCGUGCCAGCAGCCGCGGUAAUACGGGGGGGGCGAGCGUUGUUCGGAAUUACUGGGCGUAAAGGGCGCGUAGGCGGUCUCGGAAGUUCUGGGUGAAAGUCCCCGGCUCAACCGGGGGAGGUCCCAGGAAACCACGGGGCUGGAGUGCUGGAGAGGGAAGUGGAAUUCCCGGUGGAGCGGUGAAAUGCGUAGAGAUCGGGAGGAACACCGGAGGCGAAGGCGGCUUCCUGGACAGACACUGACGCUGAGGCGCGAAAGCCAGGGGAGCGAACGGGAUUAGAUACCCCGGUAGUCCUGGCCCUAAACGAUGAACACUGGGUGUGGGGGGCGCGAAAGCCUUCCGUGCCGGAGAUAACUUGUUAAGUGUUCCGCCUGGGGAGUACGGCCGCAAGGCUGAAACUCAAAGGAAUUGACGGGGGCCCGCACAAGCGGUGGAGCAUGUGGUUUAAUUCGACGCAACGCGAAGAACCUUACCGGGGUUGGAACGUCCGCGGCCACGGCCUGAGAGGGUCGGUUCCUCGUAAGGGGACUGCGGGCGAGGUGCUGCAUGGCUGUCGUCAGCUCGUGUCGUGAGAUGUUGGGUUAAGUCCCGCAACGAGCGCAACCCUUGUUGGUAGUUGCCAUCAGGUGAAGCUGGGCACUCUACCGAGACCGCCGGCGAUAAGCCGGAGGAAGGUGGGGAUGACGUCAAGUCAUCAUGGCCUUUAUGCCCCGGGCUACACACGUGCUACAAUGGGCGGUACAGAGGGGGGCGAACCCGCGAGGGGGAGCGAAUCCCAGAAAACCGCUCUCAGUUCGGAUUGCAGUCUGCAACUCGACUGCAUGAAGCUGGAAUCGCUAGUAAUCGCGGAUCAGCACGCCGCGGUGAAUACGUUCCCGGGCCUUGUACACACCGCCCGUCACAUCACGGGAGUGGGCUGUACUAGAAGUCGCCGGGCCAACCCUUCGGGGAGGCAGGCGCCGACGGUAUGGCUCAUGACUGGGGUG
rnacentral:rRNA from 1 species